rnacentral:ncRNA from 1 species
CAAAGGCAUGGUCCUGACCUUAUUAUUAGCUUUUGUUCAACUUACACAUGCAAGUAUCCGCGCCCCCGUGAGUAUGCCCUCAAUCCCCCACCCGGGGACAAGGAGCGGGUAUCAGGCACAUACAAUAGCCCAAAACACCUAGCCAAGCCACACCCCCAAGGGAAUUCAGCAGUGAUAAACAUUAAGCCAUAAGUGAAAACUUGACUCAGUCAGAAUAAACAGGGCCGGUAAAACUCGUGCCAGCCACCGCGGUUAAACGAGAGGCCCCAGUUAAUAAUAUUACGGCGUAAAGGGUGGUUAAGGAACAUAACAAAAUAAAGCCGAACAGCCCCCCGGCCGUCAUACGCUUCCGGGUGCUAGAAGUCCAACUCUACGAAAGUGGCUUUAACAAAAUUUGCCUGACCCCACGAAAGCUGAGAAACAAACUGGGAUUAGAUACCCCACUAUGCUCAGCCAUAAACCCAGACAUUUAUCUACAACUACAUGUCCGCCAGGGUACUACAAGCAUUAGCUUAAAACCCAAAGGACCUGACGGUGCCUCAGAUCCCCCUAGAGGAGCCUGUUCUAGAACCGAUAACCCCCGUUAAACCUCACCACUUCUAGUAUUUUCAGCCUAUAUACCGCCGUCGCCAGCUUACCCUGUGAAGGAAAUAGCAGUAAGCAAAAUGGGCAAAACCCAGAACGUCAGGUCGAGGUGUAGCGCACGAAGUGGGAAGAAAUGGGCUACAUUUUCUAUUAUAGAAUACUACGAAUGUGCAACAUGAAAUAGUGCCUGAAGGAGGAUUUAGUAGUAAAAAGGAAAUAGAGUGUCCUUUUGAACCCGGCUCUGAGACGCGUACACACCGCCCGUCACUCUCCCCUGUCACAAUGCAAUAUUAUACCUAAUUCCAUAGCGCCGACAAGGGGAGGCAAGUCGUAACAUGGUAAGUGUACCGGAAGGUGCACUUGGAUUAAACC